rnacentral:rRNA from 1 species
UACGGAGGGUGCAAGCGUUAUCCGGAUUCACUGGGUUUAAAGGGUGCGUAGGUGGGUAAGUAAGUCAGUGGUGAAAUCUCCGGGCUUAACCCGGAAACUGCCAUUGAUACUAUUUGUCUUGAAUACUGUGGAGGUCAGCGGAAUAUGUCAUGUAGCGGUGAAAUGCUUAGAUAUGACACAGAACACCGAUUGCGAAGGCAGCUCACUAAAUUGUAACUGACGCUGAGGCACGAAAGCGUGGGGAUCAAACAGG